AUGCUUGCCAUCAACCAUUUCUCUGAUCUCCAUGCUACGCAUUUUUGUUGGUUGAACUCUGUCGGCAUUGCUCUCAUUCCGAAGAAAGAUGGUGCCGAGGACAUCGGUGAUUUUCGUCCUCUCAGUCUUAUCCAUGUCGUCGAUAAGCUAAUUGCUAAGAUGAUGUCCAACCGGCUUGCCUCGCGCAUGAAUGAGCUGGUCUCACAUGCCCAAAGCGCAUUUAUUAAAAGAAGAUGCAUCCAUGACAACUUCAUGUAUGUGCGCAAUCUCGCGAGACGCUUCCAUCAUAGAAAAACCGGCGUUGCUCUUCGAACUUGA
rnacentral:rRNA from 1 species